rnacentral:rRNA from 1 species
GAUGAACGCUGGCGGCGUGCCUAAUACAUGCAAGUCGAGCGAACGGACGAGAAGCUUGCUUCUCUGAUGUUAGCGGCGGACGGGUGAGUAACACGUGGAUAACCUACCUAUAAGACUGGGAUAACUUCGGGAAACCGUAGCUAAUACCGGAUAAUAUUUUGAACCGCAUGGUUCAAAAGUGAAAGACGGUCUUGCUGUCACUUAUAGAUGGAUCCGCGCUGCAUUAGCUAGUUGGUAAGGUAACGGCUUACCAAGGCAACGAUGCAUAGCCGACCUGAGAGGGGGAUCGGCCACACUGGAACUGAGACACGGUCCAGACUCCUACGGGAGGCAGCAGUAGGGAAUCUUCCGCAAUGGGCGAAAGCCUGACGGAGCAACGCCGCGUGAGUGAUGAAGGUCUUCGGAUCGUAAAACUCUGUUAUUAGGGAAGAACAUAUGUGUAAGUAACUGUGCACAUCUUGACGGUACCUAAACAGAAAGCCACGGCUAACUACGUG